rnacentral:rRNA from 1 species
CGUACACUCCUACGGGAGGCAGCAGUGGGGAAUAUUGCACAAUGGGCGCAAGCCUGAUGCAGCCAUGCCGCGUGUAUGAAGAAGGCCUUCGGGUUGUAAAGUACUUUCAGCGGGGAGGAAGGCGAUAAGGUUAAUAACCUUGUUGAUUGACGUUACCCGCAGAAGAAGCACCGGCUAACUCCGUGCCAGCAGCCGCGGUAAUACGGAGGGUGCAAGCGUUAAUCGGAAUUACUGGGCGUAAAGCGCACGCAGGCGGUCUGUCAAGUCGGAUGUGAAAUCCCCGGGCUCAACCUGGGAACUGCAUUCGAAACUGGCAGGCUAGAGUCUUGUAGAGGGGGGUAGAAUUCCAGGUGUAGCGGUGAAAUGCGUAGAGAUCUGGAGGAAUACCGGUGGCGAAGGCGGCCCCCUGGACAAAGACUGACGCUCAGGUGCGAAAGCGUGGGGAGCAAACAGGAUUAGAUACCCCGGUAGUCCC